AUGCUGCUCCUGAGAUGGUUCACCUCCUGCUGCUGCCUCUGGGUUUUUGGGCUUGGGCAGCUGGAGCAAACUGAAGUAUCGGUCACCAGAGCGACAGAUGAGAGAGCGCAAAUAUCCUGUACAAUUUAUCUUCCAUAUUUCUCCAACACAGCUAUACAUUGGUACCGGCAAAAAACAAAUCAACAGUUUGAGUAUCUAAUAUAUGUUGAGACAAACUACAAUCAACGACCCUUAGGAGGGAAGAACAAAAAAAUUGAAGCAAGUAAAGAUUUUAAAAGUUCUACUUCAACCUUGGAAAUAAAUUACUUGAAGAAAGAAGAUGAAGCCACCUACUACUGUGCAGUCUAUAGAUCGGGCUUUCGCAAGGUAUUUGCAGAAGGAACAAAGCUCAUAGUAAUUCCCUCCAACAAAAGNCUUGAUGCAGACAUUUCCCCCAAGCCCACNAUUUUUCUUCCUUCUGUUGCUGAAANAANUCUCCAUAAGACUGGGACAUACCUUUGUCUCCUUGAAAAGUUCUUUCCCGAUGUCAUAAGGGUGUAUUGGAAAGAAAAGAAUGGCAAUACUAUCCUGGACUCUCAGGAAGGGGAUACACUGAAGACUAAGGACAAAUACAUGAAGUUUAGCUGGCUUACUGUGCCUGUAAGGUCAAUGGGGAAAGAGCACAGAUGUAUUGUCAAACAUGAGAACAACAAAAGAGGAACGGAUCAAGAGAUUUUCUUUCCUUCAAUAAAGAAAGUUGCUACCACUUGCUGGCAAGAUAAAAAUGAUGUGCUGCAGCUCCAGUUCAGGAGCACCUCUGCCUACUACACCUACCUUCUCCUUCUCCUCAAGAGUGUGAUCUACUUGACCAUUAUCAGCUUCUCUCUGCUUAGAAGAACAUCUGUCUGUUGCAAUGAGAAGAGGUCCUAA